rnacentral:rRNA from 1 species
AUUGAACGCUGGCGGCAGGCCUAACACAUACAAGUCGAGCGGUAGAGAGGUGCUUGCAUCUCUUGAGAGCGGCGGACGGGUGAGUAAUGCCUAGGAAUCUGCCUAGUGGUGGGGGAUAACGCUCGGAAACGGACGCUAAUACCGCAUACGUCCUACGGGAGAAAGCGGGGGAUCCUCGGACCUCGCGCCAUUAGAUGAGCCUAGGUCGGAUUAGCUAGUUGGUGAGGUAAUGGCUCACCAAGGCGACGAUCCGUAACUGGUCUGAGAGGAUGAUCAGUCACACUGGAACUGAGACACGGUCCAGACUCCUACGGGAGGCAGCAGUGGGGAAUAUUGGACAAUGGGCGAAAGCCUGAUUCAGCCAUGCCGCGUGUGUGAAGAAGGUCUUCGGAUUGUAAAGCACUUUAAGUUGGGAGGAAGGGUAGUAACCUAAUACGUUGCUACUUUGACGUUACCGACAGAAUAAGCACCGGCUAACUUCGUG